rnacentral:misc_RNA from 1 species
AUCGCAGUAUUUUUAUUUUUGUCAGUAGUCAACAGUCAACAUUGAAAUCUGAAAGUGAAUUUGAAAAACAAAAGAUAUCAGGAAAAAUUUCACUUUAAGUGGUAUCGUUAUUCUUUUAUUUUUAUCACAAUGGCAUCCGCAAGUACAACAAGCGCAAGAUCUUUAUUUUCAGAUUCCAAAAUGCGUUUAGCCGAUCGUGUUCAAGUUAAUGUAAAUAACAUUUCAUCCUUAGCUAGACAAAUUACAAGAGGCUCUAAAAGUACAGAGAUCUUGAUGCACUCGGCUCGAAAUUUUGCUGCUCAGGAACAAGCAAUGGAAAACACCGAAAAUAAUUUGAAAAAACUACAACUUUUGUCUAUUCAUUUGGGAUAUCAGCACGAUUCCAUGUUGAAAUCAGCUCUACAACUCGAAGAAGUUAAAGAGCAAGUUUGUGCAAUGCAAAGAUAGGCAUCGUGAUUUUUUUUACAUUCCGUUAUAAGCCAAAACUUGUGCGAGCUCAAGAUCAAUGAGAUCUUACUCAUCAAAACUUAUGCAUGAAUUUUUACAUUCUGAGAACAAUCCUAGUUAAUAAUAGCACAGAUUAUAAUAUUUGAAUUUGAGCAUGUAUCCUGAAUGUGAGGACAGAUUCCAUAUUAUCUGUAAAAGGCUGGACUGUUCAGGGAUCAUAUGAUUCUUCUUGAAAAUGUUUAAAUAAUAUAGUCCUUAUACUGUCAGUUCUAGGUGGUACAUGUGAAAAUCUUGGGAAAAUGAAAACAAUAACUCAAAGUGGGUAAUUUGCCAAAAAUUCUUAUAGGUCAUUUAUAAAUUCAGAUACUAAUUAUGACUGGGAUCUUUCCUAACCAAACGCUGUACAAAAAACUGGGACAGGACAACAGAAUUUUUUUGUUUCCUGCAAAGAUGAUAAAUUUAUGAAUGGCUUCUGUGAAAUUAGUUUUUUAUAUUACGAAGGGUCAUUUAUUUUGUCCACCAACACCAUACGUGAUUGAAGCUAUCCACUUCCACAGAGUACACUGAGAAAACAAUAUUGAAUGGUUAUUUUUAACGUAGGUGUACAAUCUUUCUCUAUUUUGAGAUAGAGAAACAGAUUAAUUUCUU